rnacentral:pre_miRNA from 1 species
AGGGGGAGGCCGGAUCCUGGGCUGUGUCCCCGGCGCCCUGUGCUCUGGGGCCUGCGCUCCUGGCCAGGCAGCCCCUU